UAAGGAGACCUAAGCAUCGCUCCACUCACACCUAAAUAGAUAUAGUGAGGGAGCAAGAUGUUACUCCUAGGUCGGACAAGGAAAGCUGCGAUAAGUAAGUGGAGACUCUCUUACAGCCCCUGGUUAGCAAGAUUAGGGAUACGGGCUAUUAGCUCAGGUGGUUAGAGCGCACCCCUGAUAAGGGUGAGGUCCUUGGUUCAAGUCCAAGAUAGCCCAUGGAGGGGGUAUAGCUCAGCUGGUAGAGCGCUACCUUUGCACGGUAGAAGUCAGCGGUUCGAAUCCGCUUACCUCCACCAGAGGGAGUAAUUACCUAAGAUUGCCUAAUCGAAAAAGAAGGGAAAAGAUUCAGCAACAUUAUAAUGUCUAGAUAGAGUUUGUCUAGAUAGGUUAUUGGAUUGCUGGAGAUAAUCCAGAAAGGACCUUGAAAACUGCAUAGUGAGAGAAAAAGCAAGUAGAGCCGAAAGUAGGCAAGAUCAAAG
rnacentral:tRNA from 1 species